rnacentral:rRNA from 1 species
ACACAUGCAGUCGAGCGGAAACGACACUAACAAUCCUUCGGGUGCGUUAAUGGGCGUCGAGCNNCGGACGGGUGAGUAAUGCCUAGGAAAUUGCCUUGAUGUGGGGGAUAACCAUUGGAAACGAUGGCUAAUACCGCAUAAUGCCUACGGGCCAAAGAGGGGGACCUUCGGGCCUCUCGCGUCAAGAUAUGCCUAGGUGGGAUUAGCUAGUUGGUGAGGUAAUGGCUCACCAAGGCGACGAUCCCUAGCUGGUCUGAGAGGAUGAUCAGCCACACUGGAACUGAGACACGGUCCAGACUCCUACGGGAGGCAGCAGUGGGGAAUAUUGCACAAUGGGCGAAAG